rnacentral:rRNA from 1 species
AACGUAGGCGGCAAGCGUUAUCCGGAUUUACUGGGCGUAAAGGGUGUGCAGGCGGGACGACAAGUGGUGUAUGAAAUCUCCCAGCUUAACUGGGAUAGGUUAUGCCAGACUGUCGUUCUAGAGGGCGAGAGAGGGGGGUGGAAUUCCGGGUGUAGUGGUGAAAUGCGUAGAGAUCCGGAGGAACCCCAGAGGCGAAGGCGGCCCCCUGGCUCGUACCUGACG